UACGUAGGGGGCUAGCGUUGUCCGGAAUCAUUGGGCGUAAAGCGCGUGUAGGCGGUUCGGUAAGUCCGCUGUGAAAGUCGGGGGCUCAACCCUCGAAUGCCGGUGGAUACUGUCGGGCUAGAGUGCGGAAGAGGCGAGUGGAAUUCCUGGUGUAGCGGUGAAAUGCGCAGAUAUCAGGAGGAACACCAAUUGCGAAGGCAGCUCGCUGGGACGUUACUGACGCUGAGACGCGAAAGCGUGGGGAGCAAACAGG
rnacentral:rRNA from 1 species